rnacentral:rRNA from 1 species
AUGGAGCCGGUCAUACACGGCCGCCCCGCGUCCCUCGACGUCAACUACCCCAUUAUAGCUGACCAAAACACGCUAGUCUGCCUUGUCAACAUCACCCAUCCUAAACCUGCCUUCCUGCCAUGGCUCAAGCGCGUCUUCCGGCAGCAGCUUGGCAUCACGGCCGUCCGGUUCGCCGGAUGCACCAUCCUUCCCCACAAUGUCGGGGGCAAUGCCUUCUCCUUCUCCUAUCGUCAUGUCGUCAACCUUUCGCUGGAGAAGCUGCCGGUCGAGCUCUGGAACAGGAGAGGCGUGGCCGCUAGCGUUGCCUGCUUCGCUAGCUUGUUCCAGGUAGAGCAUGCCUGCCUCCAUGGUAGUGAGUUCACGAGCAUCUUUGUGCUUGUCAAGGUGGAGGCCCUCCUGCACAUCCCUCAUCACCUGACUUUCCACCGCAUCGACGGCAACGGAAUCUACGCUGAUGUCAUCAUCAACGAGGUUUGGCAUGUUGCCCGCUCCCUUGGUGCCCCCACCGUGCCGCCGUGUGCGCCCGACGGGCAUGCUGGGGGUGCCGUCGGGGAUGCUGAUGGGAGCGAUGCUGGAUUCCGUCCUCCGACGCUGCCACGUCAAGGCCACGCCCACCCUAGGAUGUCUUCUGGGGUGUCAGUGAAACCUAAGCUCAUCAAGGGUGCGGCCUUCACCACUCCUACGGCGGUGCAAGUCGAGCAUGAAGAUGAGGUUCGGCUCUGCCUCCAUGCGUCGCUACUCGCGGCGGAUGUGCGCAAGCCGCGUGCGUCUGUCACCUUCGACCUGGAGGAACUUUGCUUCUCCUUCAAGCUGGAGCUAGGCCACUGCCGGAGCACAUCUGGGGUUAUCCAGUUCUGGCCCACGCUGAUGGACGACGGCCUCUGCCCACGCACUAUGCCCUUGCUGCCUGCGGUGGAAAGCAAAUACCGUCCUAAGCCCAACGUGCCUACCAGCCUCCUCCCCACUGUUGGGCCUCUGCUCUCCCUUGCACAGGGCGACCUCUUCCCGAUGGAGGCCCACUUUCCGGCCCAUGAGCAUCUGCGGGCCCAUCAAUUUCUCACCACCCAGCCCAUCUGCUCGCGACAUGCCAACUGCGUGCCGACCCCCGAGCCGGUGGCGGAUCAGCCGCUGCCGGGCUCUGCUUCUGCGGUCCCUAUGGUGCUCGGGUCGUCGAAGUCUGCUGGGCACCAAGCUAGGGACACGGCCCCUGCGGAGACCGAGGUCGCUGCUCUGUCCCCCCGCUGCAGUCCCCGCAUCCGGAGCGCCUAUGAUGGGGUGCGAAUCGGCUUGGUGGAGCGGGCCUCCAAGUGGAAGGCGGCGUCCGACUCGAGCUCCAGCAGCGGCUCUUCUCGCUGCUUUGGCCCCUCUUCCUCGCGGUGCAAGAAGGCUAAGGCGGCUAUUGUGGCUGCCCUCCUGGAGCUGCCCCUGUUGGAGACCCCAGCUCUGAUGACGAGGGGAAAGCUCAAGCAAGUUGCUUAG